rnacentral:rRNA from 1 species
UUGGGAAUUUUGCACAAUGGACGAAAGUCUGAUGCAGCAACGCCGCGUGGAGGAAGAAGAUCUUCGGAUCGUAAACUCCUUUUAUAGGCGAGUAAUUUUUUGAAAGUAGCCUAUGAAUAAGCACCGGCUAACUCCGUGCCAGCAGCCGCGGUAAUACGGAGGGUGCUAACGUUGUCCGGAAUUACUGGGCGUAAAGCGCAUGUAGGUGGCCUGUUAAGUGAACGAUCAAAGACCAACGCUUAACGUUGGGACCGUUGUUCAUACUGGCAGGCUAGAGGAUACCAGGGGUAAGCGGAACUUUAAGUGUAGGAGUGAUAUCCGUAGAUAUUUAAAGGAACACCAAUGGCGAAGGCAGCUUACUGGGGUAUUUCUGACACUGAGAUGCGAAAGUGUGGGGAGCAAACGGG